rnacentral:rRNA from 1 species
CCCUACGGGACGCAGCAGUAGGGAAUCUUCCACAAUGGGCGAAAGCCUGAUGGAGCAACGCCGCGUGGGUGAAGAAGGUCUUCGGACCGUAAAACCCUGUUGUUAGGGAAGAAAGUGCGCGAGAGUAACUGUUCACGUUUCGACGGUAUCUAACCAGAAAGCCACGGCUAACUACGUGCCAGCAGCCGCGGUAAUACGUAGGUGGCAAGCGUUAUCCGGAUUUAUUGGGCGUAAAGGGAACGCAGGCGGUCUUUUAAGUCUGAUGUGAAAGCCUUCGGCUUAACCGGAGUAGUGCAUUGGAAACU